rnacentral:rRNA from 1 species
AUACGGAGGGGGCUAGCGUUGUUCGGAAUUACUGGGCGUAAAGCGCGCGUAGGCGGGUUUGCAAGUUGGGGGUGAAAUCCCGGGGCUCAACCCCGGAACUGCCCUCAAAACUGCAGACCUAGAAUCCUGGAGAGGUGAGUGGAAUUCCUAGUGUAGAGGUGAAAUUCGUAGAUAUUCGGAAGAACACCAGUGGCGAAGGCGGCUCACUGGACAGGUAUUGACGCUCAGGUGCGAAAGCGUGGGGAGCAAACAGGAUUAGAAACCCCAGUAGUCC